CCUGCAACAACUUCACAGACAGACAUUCACACAUGCACUCCCCCAUAUUCUCAUACACACAUUCACACAAGUAACCCAAGCACAUUUGCUCACACUCACAUGCACAAACACCAGAUGACACACAUACAUGCACACACACACACACACACACACACACAUGCAUAUGCAUGUGCAAACCCUGUGCUCACACAUACACAUGCACCCUUCCUACAUGCUCAAAUACAAACAGGAUCACAUACAUCUCCACACACAUGCAAAAACACAUCCUCACAGUCAUUAACAUUCCUACAUGCACCCAUACACUGAAAAUCAAUAUUCACGAAAAAGAAGCCAAUCUUUUCUUCCUGCACAGAACUUAAUUCCAAUUGGAUCAAGGACAUCAACACAGGACUUUGUACUCCAAGGCUGCACCAGAAAUAUCAACGACUCUGCAUCAACACAGAAGUACAGGAGAGGAAUUUCUAAACAAGACCCUUGUGCAGCAGAGGAUGAGAGCAAUUACUGACAAAGGGGACCAUAUGCAGCUGAACACUGAAGUGUCAGAACCCUGCCCUGCUGGAGCUAAACCUGUGCAUUCAGAUGGAGAACUCUCAGGUCCAUCUCCAGCACCACAUCUGCCUGCCUGCCACCAAGCUUCCUGACAUGAUGUCAAUGGACUAAACCUCUGAAACGUCUCGCUGACAGGUAGCUUUCUGCAUCCUUCUGUCCUCCUUGGCACUGAGCCUUUCCCAGACCUUCAAGAGAUGUGAAGAGAAACUCUCUACUCUUUGGCGCACUUCGAUCUCCUGUAACCACGUCGUGUAUGUCCACAGUAAUUAUUUUCAUGUAAAAAAAUGCAGAGAACUGUGGCCACCUCAGUUUUUUCUAAAUUCAUUUUCAUCGUAUGCUGAAAGUAUUAUUUUAUUCGUGGCAUGCCCAGUGAAAAUGCUCACGUGAAGAUAUAUAGAUGUGAAUAAACCCCCUGAUGCACACUGCCUUACAAAUACGAGCACUCUGAACUUUGAAAGUCCAUUAAGAUGAUCUCUUAGACCUAUCAAGUAUUUCAUAAAAUUUUAAAAUGCUAAUUCCUUGUUUAAAAAAACCACUCAUUAGAGUCAUAAGAUAAAGAUUUCAUUAAGUUACAAAAUGUAAUGUAAUAGACAUAGAUUUUGAUAGAAAUUUCCUUCCAAACAAGUCAAGUUCGAAGUAAAUACAUGUUAGUUGUAGCAAAUAUACCCUAAUUAUAAUUUUGUCUCUUUGUGUAACAGUCAUAGUUAACAUAAAAAUCAUAUGAUUUCUGUUUCAAAAUGUUUUACAAAACGUAUAACACUGCUAAAUGUAAGGUUUUGAUUGGGGUUGGAUGACAUGAAAAAUAAUAUGUAUAAAUGUCUGCUAAAGGUCUUGGAGUCAUUUCCUUUUCUCAGUGUAAAUGACAGGAAUUGUAAAUCCCAAACGAGAGUAAUGUUCAAGGCCUUGAUAUCUAAAAUCUACCUCGCAUGUGAUUACAUAAAUGUGCACUGCCUGCAUGUGCACCAAACUGGCUUCUGCAUAAGUGUUCUUGUAAACUAAAGCCAUUAAACUGGUACAACUUCCUUUUGUUUCUUUUUUUAAAUUUUAUGUUUGUUUGUUUGUUUGUUUGUUUGUUUGUUUGUUUGUUUUGAGACAGGGUUUCUCUGUAUAGCCCUGGCUGUCCUGGAACUCACUUUGUAGACCAGGCUGGCCUCGAACUCAGAAAUCUGCCUGCCUCUGCCUCCCAAGUGCUGGGAUUAAAGGCGUGUGCCACCAUGCCCGGCACAACUUCCUUUUCAUUUGUAGUAAAACUAAAAUUUCAAGGGAAAAAGUCCUAAUUCCAACCACCUCUUCAGGCUGAGCCUGGCUACAUGUCUGUAGGUCAGUUAAGGUGGCAGGAUAAAGGUGAAGGGCAGAGAGGGCACAUCCAGUCAGUGUGUGAGCAUUUACAGGCAGAGGGCUAACAGGCUUAGCAUUUUCUUCAGGGAGGCUAACAUACAUUUUUAAUUAAAAUGUUUUUAAGCUCAUGCAGAAUUGCACAGUUUUGGACAAGAUGUUGUCUUCUUAACCUAUCUCUCAAUCCUGGUUCUACAAAAUGACCCUCACUCCCUAGGGAUAUCAAUUAAUUUUAAGAAAUUACUUCCAUCCCAGCGUGCAUUUUUUUUUCCUAUGGGAUAAUUGCCUCCUUCUCAGACGCUAACUUCAUCCCAAGGACUAAAGUGAUGACUUAUCUCUGUGCUUUACGUAUGUUGUGUGUGUGUGUGUGAACUACGUAUGCUGUGUGUGUGAACUACAUAUGUUGUGUGUGUGUGAACUACAUAUGUUGUGUGUGUGUGAACUAUGUAUGUUGUGUGUGUGUGUGAACUACAUAUGUUGUGUGUGUGUGUGUGAAUAUAUAUGAAGAUACAUGCACUUUAGUUGUUUUAAGGAUUGUUUUUGUCAGUACCAUCUCUUUAAAAAAAUCAUUUUAAAAACCACUUGAAGGCUUGCAGACAUCUUCAGGUUUACAGAUUACCUUAAUGUGUUAAUAAUAUACAUGGGACAAUCGUUCAUCUAUGUUUUUAGUUCUAAAGAAAUAUAAAAUAGUUGAGGCAAAAUACUUGUUAAAUAACUCACAUACCGGUGAACAGGUCGUUCAAAAGGAAUAAAGUAAGAAAUGCCAAACGUUUCCCUGCUUUGGCUCCUUGUAAUCCAGAAUAACAGCUAACCCCUUUUAGUUCUCAUACUUGGGAAGGGGCAGGUGGAUCUCUGAGUUUAAGGCCAACCUGGUCUACAGAUGAGGUUUCAGCAUAGCCUGGGUAGCCUGGGCUACAAAGAGAGCCCCUUGUCUCAAUUUUUUAUUUUGUAUUUUUUUUUUUUUUUUUUUUUUUUUUUUUGCACAGGAUAUCACUAUGUAGCUCUGGCUAUCCUGAAACUCACUAGGUAGAUCAGGCUGGCCCAAAACUCGCAGAGAUCCAAUUGUCUCUGCCCCUCAAGUGCUGGGACUU
rnacentral:lncRNA from 1 species